rnacentral:rRNA from 1 species
AGUGAACGCUGGCGGUAGGCCUAACACAUGCAAGUCGAACGGCAGCACAGGAGAGCUUGCUCUCUGGGUGGCGAGUGGCGGACGGGUGAGGAAUACAUCGGAAUCUACCUUUUCGUGGGGGAUAACGUAGGGAAACUUACGCUAAUACCGCAUACGACCUACGGGUGAAAGUGGGGACCGCAAGGCCUCACGCGAUUAGAUGAGCCGAUGUCCGAUUAGCUAGUUGGCGGGGUAAUGGCCCACCAAGGCGACGAUCGGUAGCUGGUCUGAGAGGAUGAUCAGCCACACUGGAACUGAGACACGGUCCAGACUCCUACGGGAGGCAGCAGUGGGGAAUAUUGGACAAUGGGCGCAAGCCUGAUCCAGCCAUACCGCGUGGGUGAAGAAGGCCUUCGGGUUGUAAAGCCCUUUUGUUGGGAAAGAAAUCCUGUCGAUUAAUACUCGGUGGGGAUGACGGUACCCAAAGAAUAAGCACCGGCUAACUUCGUG